GCCUCCCUCCGCCGCCCACUCAGACUCCUACGGAGGCAGCAGUGGGGAAUAUUGCGCAAUGGGCGAAAGCCUGACGCAGCGACGCCGCGUGGGGAUGAAGGCCUUCGGGUUGUAAACCUCUUUCGACCGGGACGAAGAGAAAUUGACGGUACCGGUAUAAGAAGCACCGGCCAACUACGUGCCAGCAGCCGCGGUAAUAC
rnacentral:rRNA from 1 species